GACGAACGCUGGCGGCGUGCUUAACACAUGCAAGUCGAACGGAAAGGCCCUGCUUUUGUGGGGUGCUCGAGUGGCGAACGGGUGAGUAACACGUGAGUAACCUGCCCUUGCCUUUGGGAUAACUUCAGGAAACUGGGGCUAAUACCGGAUAGGAGCUCCUGCUGCAUGGUGGGGGUUGGAAAGUUUCGGCGGUUGGGGAUGGACUCGCGGCUUAUCAGCUUGUUGGUGGGGUAGUGGCUUACCAAGGCUUUGACGGGUAGCCGGCCUGAGAGGGUGACCGGCCACAUGGGGACUGAGAUACGGCCCAGACUCCUACGGGAGGCAGCAGUGGGGAAUAUUGCACAAUGGGCGGAAGCCUGAUGCAGCAACGCCGCGUGCGGGAUGACGGCCUUCGGGUUGUAAACCGCUUUCGCCUGUGACGAAGCGUGAGUGACGGUAAUGGGUAAAGAAGCACCGGCUAACUACGU
rnacentral:rRNA from 1 species